CUUCUUUAUGGGCUAUAUGCCCUGCUUGUCCCCCAUACCCCUUUCAGCAAGGGUUGAUGUGGUCUCCAAGAAUCUUCUUCCGACAGAGAGCUUUAGAAUUUGCCAGAGAACGAUGGCCAGCUGAAGGUAUGGAUGAAAGAAAGAAAAAAGCUUUUCUUCUUUCAGUGAAGCUUAAGCUGUCUUGUCUUUAUGUGCAUUCCUUUUAUUUAAGACAGCCUGCCAGCCAGGGGAAGGAUCUCAAGUCCGAGUGGAAGGCUAUCCCACAAUCCUUCAUGAAAACCCUCUUUAAAGCCUAUAUCGCGUCGUUUAAGGCACAGUAACCGUCUUCCAUGUUAGAUUCAUCGUUGGACCUUGUUACCGUGCCGAAAAAGACGUUAUAGCGACCAUCCUGGGCCUUCCACGAUUGUUGACCUGUCUCGGACCGGGGAAGACGUUCUUCAAGACAGGACAUACGGUACAGAAAGGAUCAUCUAAGGAUCUUGUCUGGACGGAGAUGUGUCUUUCCUAAGCAAGACGGUAA
rnacentral:lncRNA from 1 species